rnacentral:rRNA from 1 species
GACGAACGCUGGCGGCGUGCUUAACACAUGCAAGUCGAACGGUAAGGCCCUUCGGGGUACACGAGUGGCGAACGGGUGAGUAACACGUGGGUGAUCUGCCCUGCACUUCGGGAUAAGCCUGGGAAACUGGGUCUAAUACCGGAUAUGACCUCGGGAUGCAUGUCCCGGGGUGGAAAGCUUUUGCGGUGUGGGAUGGGCCCGCGGCCUAUCAGCUUGUUGGUGGGGUUAAGGCCUACCAAGGCGACGACGGGUAGCCGGCCUGAGAGGGUGUCCGGCCACACUGGGACUGAGAUACGGCCCAGACUCCUACGGGAGGCAGCAGUGGGGAAUAUUGCACAAUGGGCGCAAGCCUGAUGCAGCGACGCCGCGUGGGGGAUGACGGCCUUCGGGUUGUAAACCUCUUUCAGUAGGGACGAAGCGCAAGUGACGGUACCUACAGAAGAAGGACCGGCCAACUACGUGCCAGCAGCCGCGGUAAUACGUAGGGUCCGAGCGUUGUCCGGAAUUACUGGGCGUAAAGAGCUCGUAGGUGGUUUGUCGCGUUGUUCGUGAAAUCUCACAACUCAAUUGUGAGCGUGCGAGCGAUACGGGCAGACUGGAGUACUGCAGGGGAGACUGGAAUUCCUGGUGUAGCGGUGGAAUGCGCAGAUAUCAGGAGGAACACCGGUGGCGAAGGCGGGUCUCUGGGCAGUAACUGACGCUGAGGAGCGAAAGCGUGGGGAGCGAACAGGAUUAGAUACCCUGGUAGUCCACGCCGUAAACGGUGGGUACUAGGUGUGGGUUUCCUUCCUUGGGAUCCGUGCCGUAGCUAACGCAUUAAGUGCCCCGCCUGGGGAGUACGGCCGCAAGGCUAAAACUCAAAGGAAUUGACGGGGGCCCGCA